rnacentral:rRNA from 1 species
GUCGAGCGGAAACGAGUUAUCUGAACCUUCGGGGAACGAUAACGGCGUCGAGCGGCGGACGGGUGAGUAAUGCCUAGGAAAUUGCCCUGAUGUGGGGGAUAACCAUUGGAAACGAUGGCUAAUACCGCAUGAUGCCUACGGGCCAAAGAGGGGGACCUUCGGGCCUCUCGCGUCAGGAUAUGCCUAGGUGGGAUUAGCUAGUUGGUGAGGUAAGGGCUCACCAAGGCGACGAUCCCUAGCUGGUCUGAGAGGAUGAUCAGCCACACUGGAACUGAGACACGGUCCAGACUCCUACGGGAGGCAGCAGUGGGGAAUAUUGCACAAUGGGCGCAAGCCUGAUGCAGCCAUGCCGCGUGUGUGAAGAAGGCCUUCGGGUUGUAAAGCACUUUCAGUCGUGAGGAAGGUGGUGUAGUUAAUAGCUGCAUUAUUUGACGUUAGCGACAGAAGAAGCACCGGCUAACUCCGUGCCAGCAGCCGCGGUAAUACGGAGGGUGCGAGCGUUAAUCGGAAUUACUGGGCGUAAAGCGCAUGCAGGUGGUUUGUUAAGUCAGAUGUGAAAGCCCGGGGCUCAACCUCGGAAUAGCAUUUGAAACUGGCAGACUAGAGUACUGUAGAGGGGGGUAGAAUUUCAGGUGUAGCGGUGAAAUGCGUAGAGAUCUGAAGGAAUACCGGUGGCGAAGGCGGCCCCCUGGACAGAUACUGACACUCAGAUGCGAAAGCGUGGGGAGCAAACAGGAUUAGAUACCCUGGUAGUCCACGCCGUAAACGAUGUCUACUUGGAGGUUGUGGCCUUGAGCCGUGGCUUUCGGAGCUAACGCGUUAAGUAGACCGCCUGGGGAGUACGGUCGCAAGAUUAAAACUCAAAUGAAUUGACGGGGGCCCGCACAAGCGGUGGAGCAUGUGGUUUAAUUCGAUGCAACGCGAAGAACCUUACCUACUCUUGACAUCCAGAGAACUUUCCAGAGAUGGAUUGGUGCCUUCGGGAACUCUGAGACAGGUGCUGCAUGGCUGUCGUCAGCUCGUGUUGUGAAAUGUUGGGUUAAGUCCCGCAACGAGCGCAACCCUUAUCCUUGUUUGCCAGCGAGUAAUGUCGGGAACUCCAGGGAGACUGCCGGUGAUAAACCGGAGGAAGGUGGGGACGACGUCAAGUCAUCAUGGCCCUUACGAGUAGGGCUACACACGUGCUACAAUGGCGCAUACAGAGGGCGGCCAACUUGCGAAAGUGAGCGAAUCCCAAAAAGUGCGUCGUAGUCCGGAUUGGAGUCUGCAACUCGACUCCAUGAAGUCGGAAUCGCUAGUAAUCGUGGAUCAGAAUGCCACGGUGAAUACGUUCCCGGGCCUUGUACACACCGCCCGUCACACCAUGGGAGUGGGCUGCAAAAGAAGUAGGUAGUUUAACCUUCGGGGGGACGCUUACCACU